rnacentral:lncRNA from 1 species
UUUAAAGGUGCAGCAAAACCGAGACAGAUCGAGCUAGAAUGGGCAGCGACCUCUUACACCACUUCAAAACUCGAGCAAAUAACCGGAAUAUCCGAACUGACUUCGAACAAAGACUCUUUCAAAACCAAAAACUAAAACUGCAUUACGAAUUUCUCAAGUGUAAAAAUCAAUUGCUCAAGAAAACUCCCCACUCUUUCUCCAACCCUUUACAGUGAAUAAGGGUAGAAUAUAUAUAGGCAAAAUUAGGGUUCGGAUUUGGGGGGAAAACGGAUAGAAUUCGAAUAGGAAUGAGACCCACCCCAAAUUCAAACUUCAAAAUCUUUCACCAUUAAAGAAAGACAUACUUUUUCCUGCAAAUUCAACCCAUUCCGAAAGAGGAAAGGGCGAGAUGGGCGCCCGGGAUCGAUUCAUUCGUCCUUGGGCGCGACGUGGAGUAAUCUCAUGGCUACAAGGACUGAGACGUGGCUUGGUGCUCUGCUGCAGGUACAAAUUGGAAAGGGACAUUGAGGAAGAAGACAAGAAAAAUGCAGAGUACUGCUUGCUUGCUACUGCUUUUCCGUCUGCCUCCGCUUGCUUCCGUGAAUUAAAUCGUUGGAAUUUGACGCGUAAUGUUGUUGAUAUGAAUGUUG